CCUACGGGAGGCAGCAGUGGGGGAUAUUGCACAAUGGGGGGAACCCUGAUGCAGCGACGCCGCGUGGGCGAUGGAGUGCUUCGGCAUGUAAAGCCCUAUCAGCAGGGAAGAAAAUGACGGUACCUGACUAAGAAGCCCCGGCGAAAUACGAGCCAGCAGCCGCGGUAAUACGUAGGGGGCAAGCGUUAUCCGGAGUUACUGGGUGUAAAGGGAGCGUAGGCGGCGUGGCAAGCCUGAUGGGAAAUACCGGGGCCCAACCCCGGGGCUGCAUUGGGAACUGCCAGGCUGGAGUGCCGGAGAGGCAGGCGGAAUUCCUAGUGUAGCGGUGAAAUGCGUAGAUAUUAGGAGGAACACCAGUGGCGAAGGCGGCCUGCUGGACGGUGACUGACGCUGAGGCUCGAAAGCGUGGGGAGCGAACAGGAUUAGAUACCCGAGUAGUC
rnacentral:rRNA from 1 species